AGCUCCAGUAGCGUAUAUUAAAGUUGUUGCAGUUAAAAAGCUCGUAGUUGGAUUUCUGGUACGCUGCGCCUGAGCCGCCUGCUUUAAGCAGUGUGUGUCUCGGAGCGCGGUUGCCAUCCUUCUAGAAAACGUUUCUACCCUUCGCUGGGCCGGAUUCGCAAUCUAGAUCUUUUACUUUGAAAAAAUUAGAGUGUUUAAAGCAGGCUUAUGCUAUGAAUACAUUAGCAUGGAAUAAUAAUAUAGGACUUUGGUUCUAUUUUGUUGGUUUCUAGAACUAAAGUAAUGAUUGAUAGGGAUAGUUGGGGGUGCUAGUAUUCAGCGGCCAGAGGUGAAAUUCUUGGAUUCGCUGAAGACUAACUUAUGCGAAAGCAUUCACCAAGGAUGUCUUCUUUAAUCAAGA
rnacentral:rRNA from 1 species